rnacentral:rRNA from 1 species
GUGGGGAAUAUUGCGCAAUGGGGGAAACCCUGACGCAGCAACGCCGCGUGGAGGAAGAAGGUCUUCGGAUUGUAAACUCCUGUCUUCUGGGACGAUAAUGACGGUACCAGAGGAGGAAGCCACGGCUAACUACGUGCCAGCAGCCGCGGUAAUACGUAGGUGGCGAGCGUUGUCCGGAAUUACUGGGCGUAAAGAGCGCGUAGGCGGCUCUUUAAGUUAGAUGUGAAAACCCAGGGCUUAACUUUGGGAGUGCAUUUAAAACUGAAGGGCUUGAGUGCAGGAGAGGUAAGUGGAAUUCCUAGUGUAGCGGUGAAAUGCGUAGAUAUUAGGAGGAACACCAGUGGCGAAGGCGACUUACUGGACUGUAACUGACGCUGAGGCGCGAAAGCGUGGGGAGCAAACAGG